UGGGCCUGCUUGUUACAGGAAUUAGGAUCGUAUAAGAUUAUCAUUAUCUCUCUAAGCUAGUAUCUUAAGAUACUUGAGACGUGACAGCUGUUUGUAUCGACCUUGAAUGUCUAUAACCUUAAAAUGGAUUUCAUGACUUAAAGGAGGCCUUUCAGCUAUAAAUAUUUUACUCAUAGUAGUGUUACCUUUGGAAAACCAACCUAGAGGAGGAUGCAACAAUAAAAUCAACCAAAAAGAAUUCCUGUGAUCGUUCCACCAAAAAACUUGUAGAAGCUCAAGUGUGAUGGAGAUUCUCAAACUUGCUCCAGGGCCUGGUCCUGAGAUGGGAUUCAUCAACAAGCAGCAGAUGGCCAAAUACUUCAUGUAGUCUUGUCAUGAAUAGCCCAAAAACUUACAAAGAGCCACUGUGUGGUCUUGCCACAUGCAGCAUGAGAGGUGAAAGACUGAUGAACUGUACCUUAGCAAAAGGAAAGUUUUGUUUCUGUGUAUGGUUUUAACAACUAUUUUGAGUUUUUAGCCUUGCUAAAAGACAGUGGAUGUAAUAUUUGAAUAUUUAUGUACUGAGAGAUUCCAUCCCUUUCGUAGGAAUUAAUGGAUAAAGCAGGGGGAAAUUAUUAUUGAAUUGCUGUGCUUUCAGAUCAGACCUGGUCAGAGUCCUAUGAUUUGUCUUUGCACUGAUGCCACCUGAGCUCAGGCUGUAUACUCUAGAUGUAUGCAUAAAAUGAAGUACCCAUGCAAUAUCAACUGAUCACUACUUUUAAAGUUGGAUUAGAUGUCAUGUCUGGGGAAUUGAAUUGACUAAGCAGAUACACAAAACAUGACUGUGUAGUGAGGGUUUUGUGAAACUGUUAAAUUCUUAUUUGGGAAUAUGUACUUUUGCGGUCACAUCGAAAAAGGUAAAAUGGGAGACCCUUGGUAGCCAUUGCUGUACAUUUAGAUUCCAGUAGUGGAUAUGAACAGUGAGAUAUGCACUCUAGUUAAAGAAUGUGACCUGAAGGAUUUUUAGGCAGUCUCAAAAGAGAAUCUGGUGAAUCACUUUAUGACUCAUGAUGAGAAGCUGCUGAGACGUCUCUCAGCAAGGGUGGAGAUACAUUGACCUUAACUGUAUAUGUUGGUAAGACAUUGAAGAAGCAUUUCAAUGAGCUUGUAAACUCUCAGUUGAGGUGGUUCCAUAAACAUCUCUUGGAGGUGGUUUAAUUUCUCUGGCUGUAGUUACUGCAUUUGGAUGAGACACUACACUGUGGCAAAGCUGUGGAAUGACUGACAUUUGGCUAGAAAUAUUAAAGGUGCUGGAAUUUUAGGGUUAUCUUGGUUAAUUAUACAUGUUUAUUAUCAUAUUAUCAUAUGGUGAAGUCAUCACCAUUUUCAAAAGGGUAUGUUCUAGUUACUGAUAAAUUACACUUGUUUGUCUCUCUUGGAAUGACUUCCUCAUGACUGUGUAAUGAAGAUUCUAUCCAGAACUAAAACCUUGGAUUCUGGAGGAACAAUGCAGACUCCUUCUGGGUCCUAGAGCAGUGGACCAAUUUUUGUUUUUGCCCAGAAGUGAUGGAAAUGUGCAAGUUGUAUUUAUAGUAAGAAGGCACUUUUUGACAAUUUUGUUUUAUUGUAUAAUAAAAAUUGAUUGAUUGGUUUCCACA